rnacentral:lncRNA from 10 species
AAAAUGGUUGCUUCAGUGAAGCAGAUGAACAUAUCUGUCAUCUCACAGAUACUUCUGUUUUGUAACAAGAGCUGCCAAAAUCUACUUGUUUAACAAAAAUCCCUAAUACAACACAAUUUUAUUAACUAUAUCCUCACAUUAUACAUUAGCUCUCUAGACUUGUUCAUCUUACAUCCUUCCAGACCUUCAAAUCCUCUUUGUCUUUCCCACUCUUCACCCAUUUCUUUCCCUCCUGGCACAGGUCCUGAAAUGUCCUAUUGCAUUACCUCAAAAGCUAGUCACAGGAGAACAAUGAUUUGCUCUGGCAAGGCGAAGACAGUACCAAGUCAUUGCAUAAUCUCCACUCACAUUCGGAGUUCCUGAGCAGCUGCUCUGGAGGUGGAUGAAAAUAACCCAUCAUUUCAGUUUUUAUAACCCAUUCAGCAUUUAGGAAUAACAUGGAUGGUUGAACCCAUGGAUACAGAGGGCCAACUGCACAUACAAUGAAUGCUUGAAGUGCACUGAUCUUCAGUGAACAGCUCACUGACUCUUUACAGGUCUCAAACUCGUGAGCUCAAGCGAUCCGCCCACCUCAGACUCCAAAGUGCUGAAAUUAUAGGCAUGAGCCACCAUGCCUGGUCAGCAUUGGGGAGUUUCAAGAACUAUUCCAGCAAAGGAGGGGAACUUCACCACCGCUGCAUGUCCUAGCCUUGGAAGUCAGGCAGCAUUGCUUCUGCUGUGUUCUCUUUGUUACAAAUAUUGAAAAUUUGCUACCUGCACCUGCUGUGUUCCCACCCUCUGGAGACCUGGGAACCUGGCUGCAGCCUGGGAAGGCUGGAGAAGCAGAUGGCAGCACCCACCAGCUCCUCUCCCUGUCCCACCUCUUCCCUGGGGAACCAGACCCUACCUGUGUGGUGGUGGGUGGGCUGAUUGUCAAGACAUGUGUCAUAUACAUUUUUAUCAAAAAUAAAGAAGUGACUAUGAAAAAAAAGAAAAUUUGAAAAGAUUAAAUUUUUAGAAAGGUGAUUGUAGAAAAUGUGGAAAAACUAGAAGAGAAUACAAAGGAAUAAAGUAUUAUUUGUAAUCCUGCCACCUAGAAAGAGCCACUGUAAACAGUUUGGUCUAUUAUCUUCUUGUCGAAAUUAAAAUAGACAGUUCUGUGUCUUGCCUUUCCCUUUU